UCUAGGCAACAAAGUGAGACCU
rnacentral:miRNA from 1 species